UACGUAGGGUCCGAGCGUUGUCCGGAAUUAUUGGGCGUAAAGGGCUCGUAGGCGGUUUGUCGCGUCGGGAGUGAAAACGCCGGGCUUAACCCGGUGCUUGCUUUCGAUACGGGCAGACUGGAGGUAUGCAGGGGAGAACGGAAUUCCUGGUGUAGCGGUGAAAUGCGCAGAUAUCAGGAAGAACACCAAUGGCGAAAGCAGCUUUCUGGGACGGUACUGACGCUGAGACGCGAAAGCGUGGGGAGCGAACAGG
rnacentral:rRNA from 1 species